CAGCCGCCGCGGUAAUACCGGCGGCCCGAGUGGCGGCCACUAUUAUUGGGCCUAAAGCGUCCGUAGCCGGGCUGGUAAGUCCCCCGGGAAAUCUGGCGGCUUAACCGUCAGAAUUCCGGGGGAUACUGCCAGCCUAGGGACCGGGAGAGGCCGGGGGUAUUCCCGGGGUAGGGGUGAAAUCCUGUAAUCCCGGGAGGACCACCUGUGGCGAAGGCGCCCGGCUGGAACGGGUCCGACGGUGAGGGACGAAGGCCAGGGGAGCAAACCGGAUUAGAUACCCGGGUAGUCCUGGCUGUAAAGGAUGCGGGCUAGGUGUCGGGUGAGCUUCGAGCUCGCCCGGUGCCGUAGGGAAGCCGUUAAGCCCGCCGCCUGGGGAGUACGGCCGCAAGGCUGAAACUUAAAGGAAUUGGCGGG
rnacentral:rRNA from 1 species